rnacentral:misc_RNA from 1 species
AACUUUUAGCAACGGAUCUCUUGGCUCUCGCAUCGAUGAAGAACGCAGCGAAAUGCGAUACGUAAUGUGAAUUGUAGAAUUCAGUGAAUCAUCGAAUCUUUGAACGCACCUUGCGCCCCUUGGAAUUCCGAGGGGCACACCCGUUUGAGUGUCGUGAACAUCCUUCAACCUUUCUUGGUUUCUUAACCGGGGAAGGCUUGGACUUUGGGGGUCUUUCAUUGCUGGCCUCUUUGAAGCCAGCUCCUCCUAAAUGGAUUAGUGUGGUCUGCUUUGCCGAUCCUUGACGUGAUAAGAUGUUUCUACGUCUUGGGUUUCGCACUGUCGCUUUAGACCCCGCUUCUAACCGUCUUGCAUUCAAGACAGAGUUUUAAACCUUGACCUCAAAUCGGGUGAGACUACCCGCUGAACUUAAGCAUAUCAAUAAGCGGAGGCU